GUUGCAUGAUGUUAUGUAUCACUUUACUAUGCUUCUCGUCUCGCUUCUGUUUUCUCCGACCGUAACUCCGAUCAUCGGUGACGAUCUGCAUUUCUCUCACCUAAUUCCUUAGAUUCUCCAUUUUUUGUUUUUUUUCCUGUAAGUUUGGUGUUUGAUGGUGCUAUAAUGCAUGAAAAAUUGUUUUUGUUAAUUUUUUGAUGAUGUAUUAUACUUGAAGUUUAUUUUAUUUUUAUUUUGAUUCUCUGAUUUGCAGUUUGAAUUUCUGAUGGUUUGCUAAUGGUUUCCUCCAAACUCACGUGGGUCCCUGAUUCCUCUCUCCUCUCUUCCUUUUACCCCAUGUGAAGUGGGCCCCAUCCCCUUCUAAUCACUUUUGCUUAACCCUUUUUAAUACCCCUCCUUUAGCCACAAAUUUUCUUGGGCUCCAUUGAUCACCAAGGUAUACAAAUUGAGGUAUAAUUCCUCACUCAAUUAAAAUCAAAACCCCUAAUCCCCCAAACCUCUUCACUCUCUUUUUCCCCUUGCUGCUCUGUUUCCUCCUACCGUCGAUGUUGCCUCGGACCACUUGCUCCGCCACUGUUCAUCCGGUGGUCGGUGAUGCGUGUUGAUGCUGCCACCGCUCUCGGUGUUUGACGUUGCUUCUCCUAUUUUCUCUCCCUCUUGUUCGACUUGUUGUUGGUGUCGUGAGUGGUGCUGCUGCCACCGUUCGGUUUUGUCUUCGCCAGUCGUGGCUCUUCGGUGUGCUAAAUCCAUUGCCUCGUCCUUCCCUCACCUCGUUUUAUGGUGUCUUGCGUUCCUACUCGCUGCUGCUGCUCCGUGCGUGUUGCCGCCACCGUGUUUCUGUUGUGCUGGUUGUGUGGGGUUAUGGGGGUGGGAAGAUAUGUGGCAGAGCAGGGAAGGGGAGGGGGAAGGGGAGGAAGGAGAGAAAAAGACGAGGUAUUAAAACAGUAAAAAAAAAAAAAGUAAAAGUUGUUAAAAAAAUAUAGACCUCUUAAGCCGGUUACUGGUUAACCUGGACCGUUAUUGUAAAUUACCCCUAAAAGUUGGGACUGAAAAAUAAUAAAUUGAAGUUGGGACUGUUUUUAUUAGGCUGCCCAUAAUUGGGACUGAUUAAAUCAAUUUUUCCUAAUUUCUAUUUGAUGUUUCUUCUCCUUUUAUUCUCCAAAAAAGACCGUUAAUGACUCUCCCAUCCCUUCCUAUUCACCCAAAAAAAAAAAUUAGUUUUUAUAAUUUAAUUUAGCAUAGUGCCGCUAAUUUUCUGUGACGGCCCUAUUUAAAACAAAUCUAAUACGAUCUCAUAUACAUAUAUUUUAUAUAUAUAUAUUAAUUAAUGAGAAUAUUUGAUCAAACAUUUUAAAAUCCGAGUCUAAAACAGAAUGAGGAACUGUAUUUUACGGACGGAGGCAAACGCACGCCUCAAAUUCUGUAUUUUUAAAAAGCCCGCCUCUAAAUAUGGAGGCGGGUUUAACGGUAAGCGCGCCUUAAUAAUCGUUUGGAAAAGAAAAAAGAACUAAUGACCAUUAGAGGCAUGCCGAAGCAGUAUUCGCCUCAAUAAGAAAGAACUCCAGAGACAAGAUAGCCUUUGCUUCCGAAAAACGGCCCUACGAGAAGCCAAUAGCCAAUUUUAUUGGCAAUUAUCUUACGAGGAUCUUAAGGCAAUCAACCCUUAUCAUAAAACUCAGAUGAUAAGGACAUACCAGUGUCACAGGAAUAUAAUCAGUUGUACUCCAGACUCCAAGUACAACUGGAAUAUCAGUUUUGAGUCACUUAUGUGUCAUUAAGUUCGACGUGGGAAAGAAGAUCACGACUUUGGCUUGUACAUUCAGUUGCAUAUGUCGACUUAGAUUCCAACUUUUUCAUACUAUUUCUUUGUUCUUGUUUUCUUAUCUAGAUUGCUUUGCACAGUACUUUAUGAGGAAACUUGAUACAGCUAUUCUUAUAUGUCAUAUCUCAUUGACAUGCUUCAAUAGUCAAUAUUCUAUCUUUUCUUUUGUUAUCAUCAA